rnacentral:rRNA from 1 species
GACGAACGCUGGCGGCGUGCCUAAUACAUGCAAGUAGAACGCACAGUUUAUACCGUAGCUUGCUACACCAUAGACUGUGAGUUGCGAACGGGUGAGUAACGCGUAGGUAACCUGCCUGGUAGCGGGGGAUAACUAUUGGAAACGAUGGCUAAUACCGCAUAAUAUUGAUUAUUGCAUGAUAAUUGAUUGAAAGAUGCUAUUGCAUCACUACCAGAUGGACCUGCGUUGUAUUAGCUAGUAGGUGAGGUAACGGCUCACCUAGGCGACGAUACAUAGCCGACCUGAGAGGGUGAUCGGCCACACUGGGACUGAGACACGGCCCAGACUCCUACGGGAGGCAGCAGUAGGGAAUCUUCGGCAAUGGACGAAAGUCUGACCGAGCAACGCCGCGUGAGUGAAGAAGGUUUUCGGAUCGUAAAGCUCUGUUGUAAGAGAAGAACGGGUGUGAGAGUGGAAAGUUCACACUGUGACGGUAUCUUACCAGAAAGGGACGGCUAACUACGUG